GAUGAACGCUAGCUACAGGCUUAACACAUGCAAGUCGAGGGGUAGCACGGAGGAAGCUUGCUUCCUUGGGUGACGACCGGCGCACGGGUGAGUAACGCGUAUCCGACCUACCCAUUACUCGGGCACAGCCGCUCGAAAGAGUGAUUGAUUCUCGAUCUGUCAUUAGAGUAGAUUUACUGAUGAAAGAUUUAUCGGUAAUGGAUGGGGAUGCGUAAGAUUAGGUCGUAGGCGGGGUAACGGCCCACCUAGCCGACGAUCUUUAGGGGUUCUGAUAGGAAGGUCCCCCACACUGGUACUGAGACACGGACCAGACUCCUACGGAAGGCAGCAGUGAGGAAGAUUGGUCAAUGGGCGGAAGCCUGAACCAGCCAAGUAGCGUGAAGGAUUACAGCCCUACGGGUUUUAAACUUCUUUUAUAUAAGAGUAAUGUGCACCACGUGUAGUGUAUUGCAAGUAUUAUAUGAAUAAGCAUCGGCUAACUCCGUGCCAGCAGCCGCGGUAAGAC
rnacentral:rRNA from 1 species